rnacentral:rRNA from 1 species
UACGUAGGGUGCAAGCGUUAAUCGGAAUUACUGGGCGUAAAGCGUGCGCAGGCGGCUUUGCAAGACAGAUGUGAAAUCCCCGGGCUUAACCUGGGAACUGCGUUUCUAACUGGCAGGCUUGAGUGUGGCAGAGGGGGGUGGAAUUCCACGUGUAGCAGUGAAAUGCGUAGAGAUGUGGAGGAACACCGAUGGCGAAGGCAGCCCCCUGGGUCAAGACUGACGCUCAUGCACGAAAGCGUGGGGAGCAAACAGG